rnacentral:rRNA from 1 species
UACGUAGGGUGCAAGCGUUGUCCGGAAUUAUUGGGCGUAAAGAGCUCGUAGGCGGUCUGUCGCGUCGGCUGUGAAAACUCGGGGCUCAACCCCGAGCCUGCAGUCGAUACGGGCAGACUAGAGUGCUGUAGGGGAGACUGGAAUUCCUGGUGUAGCGGUGAAAUGCGCAGAUAUCAGGAGGAACACCGAUGGCGAAGGCAGGUCUCUGGGCCACUACUGACGCUGAGAAGCGAAAGCAUGGGGAGCAAACAGG